CAGAACGAACGCUGGCGGCGUGGAUAAGACAUGCAAGUCGAACGGGAGAAUUGCUAGCUUGCUAAUAAUUCUCUAGUGGCGCACGGGUGAGUAACACGUGAGUAACCUGCCUCUUAGUGGGGGAUAGCCCUGGGAAACCGGGAUUAAUACCGCAUACGAUUGAAAGAUCAAAGCAGCAAUGCGCUAGGAGAUGGGCUCGCGGCCUAUUAAUUAGUUGGUGAGGUAACGGCUCACCAAGGCGAUGACAGGUAGCCGGUCUGAGAGGAUGUCCGGCCACACUGGAACUGAGACACGGUCCAGACACCUACGGGUGGCAGCAGUCGAGAAUCAUUCACAAUGGGGGCAACCCUGAUGGUGCGACGCCACGUGGGGGAAUGAAGGUCUUCGGAUUGUAAACCCCUGUCAUGUGGGAGCUAAUUAAAAAGAUAGUACCACAAGAGGAAGAGACGGCUAACUCUGUGCCAGCAGCCGCGGUAAUACAGAGGUCUCAAGCGUUGUUCGGAAUCACUGGACGUAAAGCGUGCGUAGGCUGUUUCGUAAGUCGUGUGCGAAAGGCAGGGGCUCAACCCCUGGAUUGCACAUGAUACUGCGAGACUAGAGUAAUGGAGGGGGAACCGGAAUUCUCGGUGUAGCAGUGAAAUGCGUAGAUAUCGAGAGGAACACUCGUGGCGAAGGCGGGUUCCUGGACAUUAACUGACGCUGAGGCACGAAGGCCAGGGGAGCGAAAGGGAUUAGAUACCCCUGUAGUCCUGGCAGUAAACGGUGCACGCUUGGUGUGCGGGGAAUCGACCCCCUGCGUGCCGGAGCUAACGCGUUAAGCGUGCCGCCUGGGGAGUACGGUCGCAAGAUUAAAACUCAAAGAAAUUGACGGGGACCCGCACAAGCAGUGGAGUAUGUGGCUUAAUUCGAUGCAACGCGAAGAACCUUACCUGGGCUUGACAUGUAAUGAACAACAUGUGAAAGCAUGCGACUCUUCGGAGGCGUUACACAGGUGCUGCAUGGCCGUCGUCAGCUCGUGUCGUGAGAUAUUUGGUUAAGUCCAGCAACGAGCGCAACCCCUGUUGCCAGUUACCAGCACGUCAAGGUGGGGACUCUGGCGAGACUGCCCAGAUCAACUGGGAGGAAGGUGGGGACGACGUCAGGUCAGUAUGGCCCUUAUGCCCAGGGCUGCACACGUACUACAAUGCCCAGUACAGAGGGGGCCGAAGCCGCGAGGCGGAGGAAAUCCUGAAAACUGGGCCCAGUUCGGACUGUAGGCUGCAACCCGCCUACACGAAGCCGGAAUCGCUAGUAAUGGCGCAUCAGCUACGGCGCCGUGAAUACGUUCCCGGGUCUUGUACACACCGCCCGUCACAUCAUGGAAGCCGGUCGCACCCGAAGUAUCUGAAGCCAACCGCAAGGAGGCAGGGUCCUAAGGUGAGA
rnacentral:rRNA from 1 species